AUGCAGGUGGCUUGGGUAAAGGACGUCAAAUCCAUACCACUUAUUAUUACACUUUUACGAUGGAGUUUAAGUGUUUUGGGGAUUGGAAUCACAACCAUGCAUAGGGGUCCUUGGCUCUUUAGGCACCAUGCUAUGGUAAUUGAGGAGUAUACUAGAAUAUGUCGCCCUUAUAACUCCGCAUGUGUUUGGGCUCGGAUCCUGGGUCGAUCGGACUUGCUGCACAACAGAGUAGUGGCUAAAGCAAUGGCUUCCAAGACAAGAGAAGUGUUAGAUGUGGAGCUUGAGCUAAAUGGCGUUGAAUAUGGAUGUUUGUUUGAGUACAUGUCAAGAUCAAAUUGGAGAAGCCCCCUUUGA
rnacentral:rRNA from 1 species